rnacentral:lncRNA from 1 species
GAAAAGUCUUGAGUAAUCUAGGACCCUUCAGGAAACAGGUUUAUAAAACAGUAAAAUAAUAGUUUAGAACAAGGGAACAGGCUUGAGGGAGCAGGGAGGCUGAAAACUCUGGGAGUGGAUGGGGGAGUAGCACUGCACAGCCUUUUACUAUGGGGGAACACUUGAUGAGGCAGAGGUAUGCCACUGGAGUAGUAUCUACGUUCCUAAGUGGGGAUCAUAGCUAUGUGCUGGUAGUAUACAGAAGGAUUCACCUGAAUCCUCAGAGUUUGCAAAGGUGGUCUAUUCUUAGCUUGUGUUGGAAGGUGGUGCAGGAGCCCCACCUUUAAGGCAAGAGAUGUCCUUCUCGGGAACUGCCUCACUUCUCUGUCUAAUUAGGAUUAAGUCCUAGUGUAACCCAACUGGAAAAGUACUCGGCCAGAUAAAGGAAGAAGGAGAGAAAACAUAGAAAGCUCUUUAAGAGUUAGUUAGCAUGUAUUGGCAUGAACAAGGGACAUAUCUGGGAUGGAUGUUGAGACUGCAUGAUCAAAGAGGCUAGAAUUCAAGCCUAUAGAUAAUCAGUGAUCCACGUACUUUGGGACGCUUUUUUAGAUGCUUGGGAAAAAAAAUACUUAGGAAUAUUGAUCAAAGGUUCUGAGUUGACAUUGAUACUUAGAACUGCAAAGCAUCUUCUAGGCACCCCUAUUAGAAUGGAAUCUUCUAGGAAUGAGGUAAUAAAUGGAAUCCUGACUAAAGUCUGGUGCACAAUGCACCCACUGGGUUUAUAAACCUACCCAGUAGUCACUUCCCCAUUUCCCAGGUAUGUAACAGGAGUUGAAGUACCUGGUGGUUGAAGUAACCCCCACAUUGGAUACUUGUCCUGGGCAGUAAGAGUUAUAUUGGGAAAAGAUGAGUGGAAAUAUCUAAAAUUGUCCCACUGCUCCUAGAUAAGAUAUUAAAUAAAGAGCAAGAUGAUGUUUUACAGGUGUGGAAGGAUGGCAAAGAUUAUAGCUACAAUGAAAAUGUGAAAGACUGUAGACUACUACAGACUUCGUUGAACAGUAGCCCUGAUCACAGCCUCUGUGUUAGACAGACAUCAUUGGUAGAGUAGGAACAUGGUAUUGAUGUGGUAAAUGCAUUCCUUUCCAUCCUAAUCAGAGAAGGACAGUUUUUAAAGUGAUACAUUUAUCACCUAAGAACAUUGAUUAUAUCAGCCCAUAUAUUAGGUGACAUGGAAAUUUGUCAACUUAAGUGGAAACCAGUGCAGAAAAGAGCUCUGUAGCAGGUCUGGGCUGUGGUGUAAGUAAUCCUGCUGCUUGGGUCAUAUUAUCUGGCAGAUCUUAUGGUGUUGAAGAUGUCAGUACUGGAAAAAGAUGUAAUGUGUUGCUUAUGGAAAAUCUUAGACAGGUCCUAUAAUGGGAUUAUGGAUCAAAAUCAUGCUGCCCACAGCACAAAAUUAAAUGCCUUUUGAAAAACAGCUUCCGAUAUGUUUCUGGACUCUGGUAGAGACAAAUUGCCUAGCUAGGACGCACCAAGUAUGUAUGCACCUGGAACUUUGUGAAUAGGAUUCUUUUGGAACCCAUCAAGUCAAAAGCAACAGCCUUGGGUUGUUGGGGCACAUCAGUACGGCCUCAGGAGGGGAGAAGUCUGGGGUCCUGAUUCAGCCUUUAAUGAUGUGGGUAUGGUGAGGGCCCCCGUUUCUUCCAUGGCACUUGGCUGGAGUGCAGUGGUUAUUUCCUUAAAUUUUGUCUCGCUAGGCUAUCCCUUUCUUGGUUUUCUGGGGGCAGGGGUGGAUUGUUAGGGUCCGUAAACAAGUCAAGAUGGCACUUGGCAUUUUGCCAGAGGGAGUGGUUUGUGAAGUAACGCCAGUGAGCCAUUAAGAUGAUAGAGAUUCCUUAAUGACUGACUGCUGUGUCUAGAUUAUGUCAACUAAGUUAAGCUGUGUGUAAUCAUUAAGAUGAUGAUUCCUUAUUGGUUGACUGCUGUACCUAGUUUAUGUUAAUUAAGAUAAGCUGUGUGAAAUUAGUUAUGUAUAUAUACCCCUACUGUCCUACAAUAAACGGCUCCCACUCCUGCUGUAUCAACCUUCACAAGUUGCUCGUCACCCCCCCCCCCCCCCCCGUUAGUUUGCUGCAGCCAGACUUCGGCAGUGGCUAUUGAUUGAAAGCAGGUUUCCCUUGGACCAUUUUUGUCCAUGCCUGGUGGCAUUUUCAAGUGUCCAGUUUCUUCAGCUUCAAGUCUGGAAUAUAUGAAGCAAAAAGAAAAUCUAGGGAACUCACCGUGAUGGUGUUUCAUGAGUCAUAAGGUCUUGAUCCAGUCUUUCUCUUUCCUUUCCUCUCCGCCUUAUGUUUGUUUUGCAUAUAACGUCCAAGAUUUUUAGUCUUAACAUUUUCUAGAAGGAAUAGGAAAACAUAUGUCUACUCCAUUUCCCUGGAAGCAUAGUCUCAACUGAUAUUUUAUGAGGUAAUGAAACAUUUAAUUCAAUGAAGAAAGGGUUAUUUUUUCAAUAAAUGGUGCUGGAACAAUUGGGUAUCAUGUGCAAAAAAAAAAAAAAAGAAUCUACCUAAACCUCAUAUCUUAUAUAAAUAAAUAAUUCAAAAUGAUCAUUGAUAUAAAUGUAAAACCAUAAAAUAUUUAGAAGACACAGAAAAAAGUCUUCACGACAUAGAAUUAGGCAGAGAGUUCUUAGAUAUGCAACAACAAAAAUAUCCAUAAAAAGCUAGAAAACUGGCUUCAUUAAAUUUAAAUCUUUCAUUCUGCAAAAGUCAAUAAGAAAAUUGGAAGCUACAGAAUGGGAGAAAAUAUUUGAAACACCACAGAUUUGAUAAAGACUAGAAUCUAGUAAAGAGCUAAACUCAAUAGUAAGAAAAUCAAUAAUUAAAAAAUUAACAAAAACUUGAACUUAGUCUUCACUGGAGAAGAUAUACAGAGGCAAUAAGCCCAUCAAGGAAUGUUCAGCAUUGUUGGUUUUUAGGGAAAUGCAAAUUAAAACCAUGAUGAGAUAACACUAUUAGAGUGGGUAAAUAAAAAUUUCUGACUCCAUCAAAGGCUUGGAAAGGGUACAAAGCAUCUUAGAUGGUCAUAUAUUGCUGGUGAGAAUAUAAAAUAGUGUAGCCACUUUGAAAAAUAUUUUAGCAAUUUCCUUAAAAAACUACACAAACCCAGCAAUUGCACUCCUGGGCAUUCAUCCCAGAGAGAUGAAUUUUUGUUCACACAAAAGCAGAAACCUGUAUAUGAAUAUUUAUAGCUGUUUUAUGAGUAAUAGCUGAGAGCAGUAAGUGACCCAGAUGUCUUUCAAUGGAGGAUUAAAUGAGGUGCCUUCAUACCAUGGAAUACUCAUCAAUGAAAAGAAAAAAGCCAUCGUGCAACAGCAACCUGGACGAGUCUCCAGAGAAUCAUGCUGAGUGAAAAAGGCCAAUCUCAAAAGUGAUGUGUUAUCUUAUCCAAUCUGCAUUACAUUCUUGAAAUGAUAAGAUUAUUAAAUAGAGAAGAGAUUGGAGGUUUCCAGGGUUUAAGGAGGGCAUUAAGGCUGGCGCCUGUGGCUAUUGAAGGGCAUCCUGAAGGAAGCUUGUGGUGAUGGACACGUUCUGUAUCUCGACUCUGUCAACACCAGUGUUCUGCAUGGGAUUUUUCACUGUACUUUGUGAGAUGUCAUAAUU